GCUGGGUGUGGUAGUGCACGCCUGUAAUCCCAGCAGCUUGGGAGGCUAAGGCAGGAGGAUCGUGAGUUCAAAGCCAGCCUCAGCAAUUUAGUGAGGUCCUAAGCAACUCCGAGAGACCCUGUCUCUA
rnacentral:sRNA from 1 species